rnacentral:misc_RNA from 1 species
GAAAUGCGAUAAGUAGUGUGAAUUGCAGAAUUCAGUGAAUCAUCGAAUCUUUGAACGCACAUUGCGCCCCUUGGUAUUCCAUGGGGCAUGCCUGUUCGAGCGUCAUCUACACCCUCAAGCUCUGCUUGGUGUUGGGCGUCUUUGUCCCGCCUCCGCGCGCGGACUCGCCCCAAAUUCAUUGGCAGCGGUCCUUGCCUCCUCCCGCGCAGCACAUUGCGCUUCUCGAGGUGUUGCGGCCCGCGUCCAGAAAGCAAUCGUUACCGUCUUUGACCUCGGAUCAGGUAGGGAUACCCGCUGAACUUAAGC